rnacentral:ncRNA from 2 species
AUCUGCACACACGGGAGCUCGGUGUCACCGGGCUGAGAGGGCGGCUUUGGAGCUGCCGACCGUUGAACCUGAUCUGGGUAAUGCCAGCGUAGGGACUUCUGAAUGCGUGCAGA